GGGUAAAAGUGAUAAGGUUUUCUGGGACAGUGGCGCUCAGCAUCGUUCCCUUCAUCCUUCCGUGGAGAUGAAAAGCCAGACCAACAGCCAGCAGCUGUAUCACACCCGCCACCGUGCGUCUCCAUGAGAAUGCGUCAAAGUGGUGGACGCUUUUAUCUCCGAAACAGGAUCAACAUCAAAGCAUCAACCGGCGGCAGAAUUUAAAAAAGAACUUACAUAUUACCCAGGCUGGAUGGACGCAAGCCUUUAAAGUAUGAAUGCAAAAGUAUUGAAAACCUCGCCCGGAUUGGAACUUUAGAGAACUAAAAA